rnacentral:rRNA from 1 species
AUUGAACGCUGGCGGCAGGCCUAACACAUGCAAGUCGAACGGUAACAGGAAGCAGCUUGCUGCUUUGCUGACGAGUGGCGAACGGGUGAGUAAUGUCUGGGAAACUGCCCGAUGGAGGGGGAUAACUACUGGAAACGGUAGCUAAUACCGCAUAACGUCGCAAGACCAAAGAGGGGGACCUUAGGGCCUCUUGCCAUCGGAUGUGCCCAGAUGGGAUUAGCUAGUAGGUGGGGUAACGGCUCACCUAGGCGACGAUCCCUAGCUGGUCUGAGAGGAUGACCAGCCACACUGGAACUGAGACACGGUCCAGACUCCUACGGGAGGCAGCAGUGGGGAAUAUUGCACAAUGGGCGCAAGCCUGAUGCAGCCAUGCCGCGUGUAUGAAGAAGGCCUUCGGGUUGUAAAGUACUUUCAGCGGGGAGGAAGGGAGUAAAGUUAAUACCUUUGCUCAUUGACGUUACCCGCAGAAGAAGCACCGGCUAACUCCGU